GGCGGACGGGUGAGUAACGCGUAAGAACCUGCCCUUGGGAGGGGAACAACAGCUGGAAACGGCUGCUAAUACCCCAUAGGCUGAGGAGCAAAAGGAGGAAUCCGCCCAAGGAGGGGCUCGCGUCUGAUUAGUUAGUUGGUGAGGCAAUGGCUUACCAAGGCGACGAUCAGUAGCUGGUCCGAGAGGAUGAUCAGCCACACUGGGACUGAGACACGGCCCAGACUCCUACGGGAGGCAGCAGUGGGGAAUUUUCCGCAAUGGGCGAAAGCCUGACGGAGCAAUGCCGCGUGAAGGCAGAAGGCCCACGGGUCAUGAACUUCUUUUCUCGGAGAAGAAAAAAUGACGGUAUCUGAGGAAUAAGCAUCGGCUAACUCUGUGCCAGCAGCCGCGGUAAGACAGAGGAUGCAAGCGUUAUCCGGAAUGAUUGGGCGUAAAGCGUCUGUAGGUGGCUUUUCAAGUCCGCCGUCAAAUCCCA
rnacentral:rRNA from 1 species